AUACAGCGAAACUGCGAAUGGCUCAUUAUAUAAGUUAUCGUUUAUUUGAUAGUACCUUACUACUUGGAUAACCGUGGUAAUUCUAGAGCUAAUACAUGCUAAAAAUCCCGACUUACGAAGGGAUGUAUUUAUUAGAUUAAAAACCAAUGCCCUUCGGGGCUCACUGGUGAUUCAUAAUAACUUCUCGAAUCGCAUGGCCUUGCGCCGGCGAUGGUUCAUUCAAAUUUCUUCCCUAUCAACUUUCGAUGCUAGAGUAGUGUUCUAGCAUGGUUACAACGGGUAACGGAGGGUUAGGGCUCGACCCCGGAGAAGGAGCCUGAGAAACGGCUACUACAUCCAAGGAAGGCAGCAGGCGCGCAAAUUACCCAAUCCCGACACGGGGAGGUAGUGACGAUAAAUACUGAUACAGGGCUCUUUUGGGUCUUGUAAUUGGAAUGAGUACAAUUUAAAUCCCUUAACGAGGAACAAUUGGAGGGCAAGUCUGGUGCCAGCAGCCGCGGUAAUUCCAGCUCCAAUAGCGUAUAUUAAAGUUGUUGUGGUUAAAAAGCUCGUAGUAGAACCUUGGGCCUGGCUGGCCGGUCCGCCUCACCGCGUGCACUGGUCCGGCCGGGCCUUUCCCCCUGUGGAACCUCAUGCCCUUCACUGGGUGUGUGGGAAAACAGGACUUUUACUUUGAAAAAAUUAGAGUGCUCCAGGCAGGCCUAUGCUCGAAUACAUUAGCAUGGAAUAAUAGAAUAGGACGUGUGGUUCUAUUUUGUUGGUUUCUAGGACCGCCGUAAUGAUUAAUAGGGACAGUCGGGGGCAUCAGUAUUCAAUUGUCAGAGGUGAAAUUCUUGGAUUUAUUGAAGACUAACUACUGCGAAAGCAUUUGCCAAGGAUGUUUUCAUUUAUCAGGAACGAAAGUUAGGGGAUCGAAGACGAUCAGAUACCGUCGUAGUCUUAACCAUAAACUAUGCCGACUAGGGAUCGGACGAUGUUAUUUUUUGACUCGUUCGGCACCUUACGAGAAAUCAAAGUGCUUGGGCUCCA
rnacentral:rRNA from 1 species